rnacentral:rRNA from 1 species
CGUGGAGACAGGUGGUGCAUGGCUGUCGUCAGCUCGUGUCGUGAGAUGUUGGGUUAAGUCCCGCAACGAGCGCAACCCUCACCCCUUGUUGCCAUCAGGUCACGCUGGGCACUCUAGGGGAACUGCCCCGGUCAACGGGGAGGAAGGUGGGGACGACGUCAAGUCAUCAUGCCCCUUACGUCCUGGGCUACACACGUGCUACAAUGGCCGGUACAAAGGGAUGCAAGACCGUGAGGUGGAGCUAAACCCAAAAAGCCGGUCUAAGUUCAGAUUGGAGUCUGCAACUCGACUCCAUGAAGGAGGAAUCGCUAGUAAUCGCGCAUCAGCACGGCGCGGUGAAUACGUUCCCGGGCCUUGUACACACCGCCCGUCACACCACGAAAGCCAGCUGUACUCGAAGUCGCUGAG